CAAAGGAAAAUACUCCCAAGCUGGUGAACUGAAUGUUGCAGUUGCUUUGCACACUGUUAAUGACGACUGUGUGCUGUUUUCUCUGUACCAGUUGCCAGAAUAAAGAGGGAGCCCAGAGUAAGGGCAAGUCCAGCGUUGCAGUGCCGUCCUUCCUACAUGGGCAUAUCACACCACUUGCACGAUAGACUCACAGAACAGCAACAGCUACAUGUAAAUAUAAAAAACAAGAGUUUGAUUAAUCUGUAGAAACAGGAAAGAGAAACAGAAAAAUACUGCGCUGCUGUGUGUGUGAGAGGAACUUUGCAUGCCCAUAGAAGGAAACUGGUUGAUGUGUGUAGUGUGAAAUCAGAGAGAAAAGCUCAGAAAUAAAGAGAAAGGUUGGUUAAAGCAAAGAGAGGCACUGGCAGCAUUUAAGACACUAAACAAGAGAAACAGAUCAGAGAACAUCAGACUGAAUAAGUGGAAUAAAGUGAAACAGAGAACUAACGCUCCCUAAGAAUGGAGCUGUCAGAGGAAGAGAGCAGCAAACUGAAAGUCUCUGUUAGCUGCAGAGCUCUGAAACUUCACACAGCUUUGGAUGAUAACAUGGAGAAAGGAUGUGGAGAUUUUCACAGAUCUGCUAGAAAUCAUCUUCUAGUUAUUGUGACUCAGAUAUGACUGAUUAUAGACGAGGACCAAAGAAGGUUUUUACUGAGAUUUGAACUGACUUAGCUUAGCCUGUGUUUUAGCCACAUGCUAAACAAACACAUGUUCAGAAACUAGAAGAUGUUACCUUUCAGAUGAAGUCUCACACAUGAACUUUGCUCCUACAGUUCAUCUGCUGAAGCUUUUACAUUUGG